CUGCUCAGAAAACUUAUUAUACCGUCCCAUUGACAUUUGAACAUGCCUUCACAGGGUUACAUGGUAAUUCUCUUCUUCCCAAAUUGGGCCCACUGGAAAUGUUAUUGGGAGAUAAUUAAAAAUGUAGCAGGUGAAAUAUUUAAAUAACAUGGAUCCAGAGAAGUAUGAAGCAUUAGAAUGAUACCUGGUAGUUUUCCUUUCUGUUGUUGCUGUUUGUUUGAUACUAAGUUUUAGAUGUGUUUGUUCUCCAAACGAGAAAAACAUUUUCCUAACCAUACAUAGAGUUUAUCUUUUUGACUAAGGAAGUGAAACAGAAAGACCAACGUUCAUUCUCUUGCGACUGACAGCUUCUUUCCUAAAACCGUUACCCUCGGAUACUUUCAUUAAAGUUGAUUUCCUUCUUCAGAAGGCAGCCUUUUUAUAAAAUGUUUUACAUUUUAUAAAGACAAAUGAGGUUUGUCUUCUUGAUUUUAAGUAAUUUAGGGAUCACAGCAUUUAAAUAAAAUAGUUCAGGUUUGUUUAUUUUCAGAUAUUACUGUAUUGUUGUACCAGCCAUUUAAAUCCUAAGCAAGUAGUUAAACUCAUUCUCUCUAAAGUAGUGACUGUUUAACACAGUAGCUUAUAUGGCCUUCCUGCCAAGUGGAUCAGUCUAAGUGUAAGGAAAUCAUCUACCCUUUUUUUAAAGUAUUAUGAAAAUAUUUCAUGAAAAAAACAUAUUGUCAGUUAUAGUCUUAUUUGAGAAGUAUUGAGCAUUUCUAAAAUACCUUUUCUGUGAUGAUUUCUCUAAGAAUUUUAAAAAGUCCAGUGCGUCAGUGCCAGAAUGUUCCUCAUUUUUUUUAAACUGCCUGA
rnacentral:lncRNA from 1 species